rnacentral:rRNA from 1 species
UCUGGCUCAGGAUGAACGCUGGCGGCGUGCUUAACACAUGCAAGUCGAACGAAGCGUCCCGCCCGAUGAAGUGGAGUGCUUGCACAAAGCAGAAUCAAUUGGGAUGACUUAGUGGCGGACGGGUGAGUAACGCGUGGGUAACCUGCCUUACACAGGGGGACAACAGUUGGAAACGACUGCUAAUACCGCAUAACCCGCUAGUAUCGCAUGAUACAGACGGAAAAGAUUUAUCGGUGUAAGAUGGACCCGCGUCUGAUUAGCUAGUUGGUGAGGUAACGGCUCACCAAGGCGACGAUCAGUAGCCGGCCUGAGAGGGUGAACGGCCACAUUGGGACUGAGACACGGCCCAAACUCCUACGGGAGGCAGCAGUGGGGAAUAUUGGACAAUGGGGGAAACCCUGAAUCCAGCGACGCCGCGUGAGUGAAGAAGUAUUUCGGUAUGUAAAGCUCUAUCAGCAGGGAAGAAAAUGACGGUACCUGACUAAGAAGCCCCGGCUAACUACGUGCCAGCCGCAGC